AACGCUAGCUACAGGCUUAACACAUGCAAGUCGAGGGGCAGCAUUUUAGUUUGCUUGCAAACUGAAGAUGGCGACCGGCGCACGGGUGAGUAACACGUAUCCAACCUACCGAUAACUCCGGAAUAGCCUUUCGAAAGAAAGAUUAAUACCGGAUAGCAUACGAAUAUCGCAUGAUAUUUUUAUUAAAGAAUUUCGGUUAUCGAUGGGGAUGCGUUCCAUUAGUUUGUUGGCGGGGUAACGGCCCACCAAGACUACGAUGGAUAGGGGUUCUGAGAGGAAGGUCCCCCACAUUGGAACUGAGACACGGUCCAAACUCCUACGGGAGGCAGCAGUGAGGAAUAUUGGUCAAUGGGCGAGAGCCUGAACCAGCCAAGUAGCGUGAAGGAUGAAGGCUCUAUGGGUCGUAAACUUCUUUUAUAUGGGAAUAAAGUUUUCCACGUGUGGAAUUUUGUAUGUACCAUAUGAAUAAGGAUCGGCUAACUCCGUGCCAGCAGCCGCGGUAAUACGGAGGGUCCGAGCGUUAUCCGGAUUUAUUGGGUUUAAAGGGAGCGUAGGUGGAUUGUUAAGUCAGUUGUGAAAGUUUGCGGCUCAACCGUAAAAUUGCAGUUGAAACUGGCAGUCUUGAGUACAGUAGAGGUGGGCGGAAUUCGUGGUGUAGCGGUGAAAUGCUUAGAUAUCACGAAGAACUCCGAUUGCGAAGGCAGCUCACUAGACUGUCACUGACACUGAUGCUCGAAAGUGUGGGUAUCAAACAGGAUUAGAUACCCUGGUAGUCCACACAGUAAACGAUGAAUACUCGCUGUUUGCGAUAUACAGUAAGCGGCCAAGCGAAAGCAUUAAGUAUUCCACCUGGGGAGUACGCCGGCAACGGUGAAACUCAAAGGAAUUGACGGGGGCCCGCACAAGCGGAGGAACAUGUGGUUUAAUUCGAUGAUACGCGAGGAACCUUACCCGGGCUUAAAUUGCAACAGAAUAUAUUGGAAACAGUAUAGCCGUAAGGCUGUUGUGAAGGUGCUGCAUGGUUGUCGUCAGCUCGUGCCGUGAGGUGUCGGCUUAAGUGCCAUAACGAGCGCAACCCUUAUCUUUAGUUACUAACAGGUUAUGCUGAGGACUCUAGAGAGACUGCCGUCGUAAGAUGUGAGGAAGGUGGGGAUGACGUCAAAUCAGCACGGCCCUUACGUCCGGGGCUACACACGUGUUACAAUGGGGGGUACAGAAGGCGGCUACCUGGUGACAGGAUGCUAAUCCCAAAAACCUCUCUCAGUUCGGAUCGAAGUCUGCAACCCGACUUCGUGAAGCUGGAUUCGCUAGUAAUCGCGCAUCAGCCAUGGCGCGGUGAAUACGUUCCCGGGCCUUGUACACACCGCCCGUCAAGCCAUGAAAGCCGGGGGUACCUGAAGUACGUAACCGCAAGGAGCGUCCUAGGGUAAAACUGGUAAUUGGGGC
rnacentral:rRNA from 1 species